GCCGGGCGUGGUGGCUCAUGCCUGUAAUCUCAGCACUUUGGGAGGCCGAGGUGGGUGGAUCACUUGAGGCCAGGAGUUCAAGACCAGCCUGGCCAACAUGGUGAAAGCCCAUCUCUA
rnacentral:SRP_RNA from 1 species